AUAGUACUCCCUCCGUCCCAAAAAUUUUAUCUUAGAUUUAUCUAAAUACGGAUGUAUCAAGUCACGUUUUAGUAUUAGAUACAUCCGUAUGUAAACAAAUUUAAGACAAGAAUUGUGGGACGGAGGGAGUAUUUU
rfam:Triticum aestivum genome assembly, contig: Triticum_aestivum_CS42_TGACv1_scaffold_404478_5BL